UACGUAGGGUGCGGGCGUUGUCCGGAUUUAUUGGGCGUAAAGAGCUUGUAGGCGGCUCGUCACGUCGGGUGUGAAAACUCGCGGCUCAACCGCGAGCCUGCACCCGAUACGGGCGGGCUGGAGUUCGGCAGGGGAGACUGGAAUUCCUGGUGUAGCGGUGGAAUGCGCAGAUAUCAGGAGGAACACCGGUGGCGAAGGCGGGUCUCUGGGCCGAUACUGACGCUGAGAAGCGAAAGCGUGGGGAGCGAACAG
rnacentral:rRNA from 1 species